CCUACGGGAGGCAGCAGUGGGGAAUAUUGCACAAUGGGCGCAAGCCUGAUGCAGCGACGCCGCGUGGGGGAUGACGGCCUUCGGGUUGUAAACCUCUUUCAGCAGGGACGAAGCCUUUUGGGGUGACGGUACCUGCAGAAGAAGCGCCGGCCAACCACGUGCCAGCAGCCGCGGUAAUACGUAGGGUGCGAGCGUUGUCCGGAAUUAUUGGGCGUAAAGAGCUUGUAGGCGGUUUGUCGCGUCUGCCGUGAAAAUCCGGGGCUCAACCCCGGACUUGCGGUGGGUACGGGCAGACUAGAGUGUGGUAGGGGAGACUGGAAUUCCUGGUGUAGCGGUGAAAUGCGCAGAUAUCAGGAGGAACACCGAUGGCGAAGGCAGGUCUCUGGGCCACUACUGACGCUGAGAAGCGAAAGCGUGGGGAGCGAACAGGAUUAGAUACCCUGGUAGUCCACGCCGUAAACGUUGGGAACUAGGUGUGGGUCUCAUUCCACGAGAUCUGUGCCGCAGCUAACGCAUUAAGUUCCCCGCCUGGGGAGUACGGCCGCAAGGCUAAAACUCAAAGGAAUUGACGGGGGCCCGCACAAGCGGCGGAGCACGUGGAUUAAUUCGAUGCAACGCGAAGAACCUUACCAAGGCUUGACAUAUACCGGAAACAUCCAGAGAUGGGUGCCCCGCAAGGUCGGUAUACCGGUGGUGCAUGGUUGUCGUCAGCUCGUGUCGUGAGAUGUUGGGUUAAGUCCCGCAACGAGCGCAACCCUCGUUCUAUGUUGCCAGCGCGUAAAGGCGGGGACUCAUAGGAGACUGCCGGGGUCAACUCGGAGGAAAGUGGGGACGACGUCAAGUCAUCAUGCCCCUUAUGCCCAGGGCUGCAAACACGCUACAAUGGGCAGGACAAAGGGCUGCGAUCCCGCGAGGGUGAGCGAAUCCCACAAAGCCAGUCUCAGUUCGGGAUUGAGUCUGCAACUCGAUCCCGUGAAGUCGGAGUCGCUAGUAAUCGCAGAUCACCAACGGCUGCGGUGAAUACGUUCCGGGAAGGGG
rnacentral:rRNA from 1 species